rnacentral:rRNA from 1 species
GAUGAACGCUGGCGGCGUGCCUAAUACAUGCAAGUCGAGCGAACAGACGAGGAGCUUGCUCCUCUGACGUUAGCGGCGGACGGGUGAGUAACACGUGGAUAACCUACCUAUAAGACUGGGAUAACUUCGGGAAACCGGAGCUAAUACCGGAUAAUAUAUUGAACCGCAUGGUUCAAUAGUGAAAGACGGUUUUGCUGUCACUUAUAGAUGGAUCCGCGCCGCAUUAGCUAGUUGGUAAGGUAACGGCUUACCAAGGCAACGAUGCGUAGCCGACCUGAGAGGGUGAUCGGCCACACGGGAACUGAGACACGGUCCAGACUCCGACGGGAGGCAGCAGUAGGGAAUCUUCCGCAAUGGGCGAAAGCCUGACGGAGCAACGCCGCGGGAGUGAUGAAGGUCUUCGGAUCGUAAAACUCUGUUAUUAGGGAAGAACAAAUGUGUAAGUAACUAUGCACGUCUUGACGGUACCUAAUCAGAAAGCCACGGCUAACUACGUG